GACGAACGCUGGCGGCGUGCCUAAUACAUGCAAGUCGAGCGAGUCUGCCUUGAAGGUCGGAGUGCUUGCACUCUGUGAAACAAGAUACAGGCUAGCGGCGGACGGGUGAGUAACACGUGGGUAACCUGCCCAAGAGAUCGGGAUAACACCUGGAAACAGAUGCUAAUACCGGAUAACAACAGAUGAUGCCUAUCAACUGUUUAAAAGAUGGUUCUGCUAUCACUCUUGGAUGGACCUGCGGUGCAUUAGCUAGUUGGUAGGGUAACGGCCUACCAAGGCGAUGAUGCAUAGCCGAGUUGAGAGACUGAUCGGCCACAUUGGGACUGAGACACGGCCCAAACUCCUACGGGAGGCAGCAGUAGGGAAUCUUCCACAAUGGACGCAAGUCUGAUGGAGCAACGCCGCGUGAGUGAAGAAGGGUUUCGGCUCGUAAAGCUCUGUUGUUGGUGAAGAAGGACAGGGGUAGUAACUGACCUUUGUUUGACGGUAAUCAAUUAGAAAGUCACGGCUAACUAAGUG
rnacentral:rRNA from 1 species